rnacentral:lncRNA from 1 species
AUGUUAAGGAGUUAGAAUAGCUUGAAUUUUUGAAAUUCAAGGUCUAUAGUAGGGGGUUCAAUAUACCGCAGGGGGGUCAAAAUACCAUGGCUAAGUAAAAUUUUCAAAAUAUCUUUUCCAGUAUAUUAAAUACAUACAAACUACUUAUUGAAGUAUUAUAACUAUGUUAAGGAGUUAGAAUAGCUUGAAUUUUUGAAAUUCAAGGUCUAUAGUAGGGGGUUCAAUAUACCGCAGGGGGUCAAAAUACCAUGGCUAAGUAAAAUUUUCAAAAUAUCUUUUCCAGUAUAUCAAAUACAUACAAACUACUUAUUGGAGUAUUAUAACUA